rnacentral:rRNA from 1 species
GAUGAACGCUGGCGGCGUGCCUAAUACAUGCAAGUCGAGCGAACAGACGAGGAGCUUGCUCCUCUGACGUUAGCGGCGGACGGGUGUGUAACACGUGGAUAACCUACCUAUAAGACUGGGAUAACUUCGGGAAACCGGAGCUAAUACCGGAUAAUAUAUUGAACCGCAUUGUGCAAUAGUGAAAGACGGUUUUGCGGUCUCUUAUAGCUGGAUCCGCGCCGCAUUAGCUAGUUGGUAAGGUAACGGCUUACCAAGGCAACGAUGCGUAGGCGACCUGAGGGGGUGAUAGCCCACACUGGAACUGAGACACGGUCCAGACUCCUACGGGAGGCAGCAGUAGGGAAUCGUCCGCAAUGGGCGAAAGCAUGACGGAGCAAGGCGGAGUGAGUGAUGAAGGUCUUCGGAUCGUAAUACUCUGUUAUUAGGGAAGAACAAAUGUGUAAGUAACUAUGCACGUCUUGACGGUACCUAAUAAGAAAGCAACGGCUAACUACGUG